CGGACUGUGUCUCUGAGACCCUGUGUGUGGAUACACGUGUACUUAAAACAGCCCCGCCUGUGUGUAGAGCACUUGCUGUAUGUCAACGCUUUGCAGGAGCUAUUGCACUUAAGCCUCAGAACAACUUUAUGAGGCCUAUUUCUAACAGACUUGUUAUGUGUAUUCUUAUUCAAUUCUGGAUUGGAUUCAGAAAAUUGGACAGUGUUGCAGGUACUGAAUGAUGUGUAGGCAUGCUGAUAUCCACAAAAGUAAGAACUGACUACACUUCAAGAAUGUUAAAGAAAGUCAUUCAGACAGAAAGGAAAUGCUACCGGAUGGAAAUGCAGAUCUACACAGAGGAAUGAUGAGCACUGGAAAAGAAUGUAUCUUGUAGGAGGAAGAUCUUUUUUCAGUUGACUCCAGUGCCUAGCAAAUGUUUGAUACACAAAAGAUGUUUAAUAAGAAUUUGGAUUGGUUCCUGGAAGUGGAACUACUAUAUCAAAGAUUUGGACAUUUUUAAGACCCCAGAAAGGUAAUAUAGUAAUAAAUGCGACUGUAAGUUUUAACACAUUCUUAGCUACACUAGUUAUUAACACUUGAAUUUUCAAUCUUUGUCAGUCUGAUAAUAGGGAGACUCAUUGUGUAAUUUGAUAAAAUUGCAUUUUUGCUCAUAUACUCAUAUUAAUAACUUAACUACCUCAAGGACUUAAUAUUCUUUGUCUUUUCCAUGAUGCUUACUCAGCUGGUGAAGAAAUGUAUUUUUUAUUGACUUUGGCAGUAUUUCUUUUAAAAUAAAUUAUAUUUUGAACACAUAGAAAGGUGAAGAAAAAUAGCAUAAGGAAGGAUCCAGAUUUAUUUUACUUAGUAAAAAAAGGUAAGAUUGUAUUUAAUUAUUAAUGUAGUGGUAAAUAGAACAUUAUUACUAGAAGCUAGCAAUAUCAUAUUUUAUUUAUUGUAAUUUAUUUCUUUAUUGAAAUCAUACUGAAUUUAUUGCUUAAUGUGCCAUUUUCACUACAGUACUUUCCAAAAUGCUUACUAAAUGCUUAGCUUAUAAGAUUAAGAAAAACAUUCACUAGAUAACUACUUUGAAAUAAUUGCCCCAACCCUGCUUUCAUUCACGAUGCCUAGAAAUAGACUUGCCUACUUUAAUUUUCUUUCAUGUUGUUAUUACUAUGAAGUCAUUCUAUAGAUAGGGUAAUAAGCAUUCUGGCAUAAAGAAAAAUAGCAUCUGUACAACGAUAUGGCACAGUUUGGUUGGGGCUGUUCCUGCUUCAGAACUUCAUUACAUAAUUUGAAAGUGUUUACUUAAGCUCCUUUGGGCUGCCUCCAUGGUAGCUAUGAAGUCAUAGAAUUAGGACCAGUUUGGGGCCUGAUAACAACGUCUGUUAGUUUAAUGUGAACACCGUGUCAAUUUUUUUUUUUUUUUAUCAUUGCUGUAUAAGAAACUUUAAAAACAAAGAUAUACUUAAUUCAUUUCAUUUUUUAAAACAAGUAUGCUUCUUCAAAAAUCAUUAAUACACAAAACAAGGGAUUCAUAAAUGUAUGUUUGCUCAUUGUCUAGAUGUAUUUAUUUUAAAAUCUGUAUUCCAUACCAUGAAUUCACAGUAUGAUUUUGACUCAGUAUAAUUAUAAAUAAUUAUGCAAAAUUACCAAAAUGUGUAGAGGUAUUAGACAGCCUUUAGGAGAGUAUGAAUUAUUAAAAUUCUAUUUCUACACCAAGACCAUUAUUUCUAUCUCUAAGUCACAAAAGAAAUCUAAGAGAACAUCAUAGAUGUAUAAAUUAUAAUAAUAUCAGCUUUAGGAGAAUUUAAAAAGAUACCAGGUUAUAAGAAAAAAUUAUUUUCUCUUGAUUACUCAAAGAAAGGUAAUAUUUUCAGUUCCUGAGAGAGAGAACUCUUGCUCCUUGGCCAACCAAAUAACUAGGUGUAUUGGUUUUAAAGAAAAAUAUUGCAAUAUGCAUUGUAAACAUGGAAGAAGAAUCAUUUAAAUUUUGUAUUGUAAUAAUCAAAUGGUAUAUCACCUUCAAGGCAACGUGAAAAUUUUUUAUAAAAUACCUAAAAUCUCAACCAUCCCUUUAGAAUUACUGAGUUUUAUGAAUAAACAAGCCUAAGUCAAGAUCCUGUUAUCUAAAAGCAUAUAGACCUCUUAAAGAAAUGUCAUUUUGUUUUAAUUAUGUAACAUGAAUUUAUUAUAAAAUUACUUGUUGGAAUAGCAUUUUGCUUUUUAACUAACUUUGAGAAGUUAAACUGAUGGCCUUGCCAAUGAUCUAGUGAGGUACAAAGUCAGGGAUAAUUCAGGGAAGAAACAGAAAAAACCUUUAGGACCUGAUCAUCACUCUGGAGGUAUAGCCACUCUAGGGGUCCUACGUGGAUUGGGAGAGAGGGGUUUCUGUGUAUAGGCGGCCUGAUCUGGAGGGGGAGGAUGGUCAAGGGGGAGAAGAGGGAAAGAUUAUGAGACAAACUGCCUACUCAGAUUAGUUUAGGUUUAGCUUUGCUGUAACAGUGAAAUGUGGUGGGGUUUUUUUGUUUGUUUAUUUAUUUUGAGAGAGAGAGAGCGAGCGCAUGUGCAUAUGGUAUGAUCAGGGAAGGGGCAGAGAGAGAGAGAAGUAGAGAGAGAAUCCCAGGCAGGUUCUGCAUUCUGAGCCUGGAGCCCAACAUGGGGCUCCAUCUCAUGAAGCAUGAGAUCAUGAUCUGAGCUGAAAUCAAGUCAGACACUUAACCCACUGAGCCACGCUGGUGCCCCUGAAAUGUUUGGGUUUUUAUAUGUCAUUCUCAUAUCAAAAGAGGAUGAUUGUUUGGUUUCUUAUGUUUAAAUAUUUUUAAUAUACGAUACAUUGUUUAUAAAUCUGUUUAUCAGAAGUUAAUAUGUGUGGUGAUUUUAAACUAAAUAUUGCCAAUUCUUUGACACGCCUUCAUUAAAGGAUCAGAGUCUAAUUCCCCUGUCUAGAA